GGUGAAGAGAGGCAAGAAGCAAAAGUCACAUGAAGAGUAUAAACUCAAGAAUUUACUACUUCAGGACAGAAGAGAAGGGAGGACUUCCUUGAGCUCAGGUGGCAAUACGACAGAUAGUUUUGGUUUCACAUGCAUACCUCUGGUCUCAACAAUGUGGCUGUGUGCUCUUAAAGAAUGUCAGGGUCAGGAAGAGAGUCCUCUUCAGCAGCCUCAUCCUUCGCCUAUACACCCAUCACCCCGAGGGCCCCAACUUACUGCUGGCUCCAUCCUUGAAGGGUCCUGACUCUUAGACUCUUUGACAUAGCAGACACAAGGGAAGAACAAACCAGGUAGACACACUUAGU
rnacentral:lncRNA from 1 species